rnacentral:rRNA from 1 species
GACGAACGCUGGCGGCGUGCUUAACACAUGCAAGUCGAACGGAAAGGCCCUGCUUGCAGGGUACUCGAGUGGCGAACGGGUGAGUAACACGUGGGUGAUCUGCCCUGCACUUCGGGAUAAGCUUGGGAAACUGGGUCUAAUACCGGAUAGGAACCAUCUUUAGUGUGGUGGUUUGAAAGUUUUUUCGGUGUAGGAUGAGCUCGCGGCCUAUCAGCUUGUUGGUGGGGUAAUGGCCUACCAAGGCGGCGACGGGUAGCCGGCCUGAGAGGGUGUACGGCCACAUUGGGACUGAGAUACGGCCCAGACUCCUACGGGAGGCAGCAGUGGGGAAUAUUGCACAAUGGGCGCAAGCCUGAUGCAGCGACGCCGCGUGGGGGAUGAAGGCCUUCGGGUUGUAAACUCCUUUCGCUAGGGACGAAGCUUUUUGUGACGGUACCUAGAUAAGAAGCACCGGCUAACUACGUG